rnacentral:rRNA from 1 species
UACGAAGGGGGCUAGCGUUGCUCGGAAUCACUGGGCGUAAAGGGUGCGUAGGCGGGUCUUUUAAGUCAGGGGUGAAAUCCUGGAGCUCAACUCCAGAACUGCCUUUGAUACUGAAGAUCUUGAGUUCGGGAGAGGUGAGUGGAACUGCGAGUGUAGAGGUGAAAUUCGUAGAUAUUCGCAAGAACACCAGUGGCGAAGGCGACUACCUGGCCUGUUCUUGACGCUGAGGCGCGAAAGCUAGGGGAGCAAACGGGG